GCAACGGCUCACCANGCCNAUNACCGGUACNGGGCCGUGNGAGCGGGAGCCCGGAGAUGGGUACUGAGACAAGGGCCCAGNNCCUACGGGGCGCAGCAGUUGCGAANACUUGUCAAUGCACGAAAGUGUGAACGGGCUACCCCGAGUGCCGUCCGCUGAGGAUGGCUUUUCUCUGCUGUAAGAAGGCGGAGGAAUAAGGAGAGGGCAAGUCUGGUGUCAGCCGCCGCGGUAAUACCAGCUCUCCGAGUGGUAGGGAUGAUUAUUGGGCCUAAAGCGUUCGUAGCCGGCCUUCCAAGUCUUUCGUUAAAUCCAGCGAUUCAAUCGUUGGACUGCGGGAGAUACUGUUAGGCUAGGGGGCGGGAGAAGCCGACGGUAUUUCUGGGGUAGGGGUAAAAUCCUAUAAUCCCAGGAGGACCACCAGUGGCGUAGGCGGUCGGCUAGCACGCGCUCGACGGUGAGGGACGAAAGCUGGGGGAGCAAACCGGAUUAGAUACCCGGGUAGUCCCAGCUGUAAACGAUGCGGGCUAGGUGUUGAAGCGGCUACGAGCCGCUUCAGUGCCGCAGGGAAGCCAUUAAGCCCGCCGCCUGGGGAGUACGGCCGCAAGGCUGAAACUUAAAGGAAUUGGCGGGGGAGCAC
rnacentral:rRNA from 1 species